rnacentral:rRNA from 1 species
UACGUACGAGGCGAGCGUUAUCCGGAAUUACUGGGCGUAAAGCGUGCGCAGGCGGUUAUGUAAGACAGGUGUGAAAUCCCCGGGCUUAACCUGGGAACUGCAUUUGUGACUGCAUAGCUAGAGUACGGUAGAGGGGGAUGGAAUUCCGCGUGUAGCAGUGAAAUGCGUAGAUAUGCGGAGGAACACCGAUGGCGAAGGCAAUCCCCUGGACCUGUACUGACGCUCAUGCACGAAAGCGUGGGGAGCAAACAGG